UACGGAGGUCUCGAGCGUUGUUCGGAUUUAUUGGGCGUAAAGAGCGUGUAGGCGGCUUUACAAGUCCGUUGUGAAAACUCGAGGCUCAACCUCGAGACGCCGGUGGAAACCGUAAAGCUAGAGUCCGGAAGAGGAGAGUGGAAUUCCUGGUGUAGCGGUGAAAUGCGCAGAUAUCAGGAGGAACACCCGUGGCGAAAGCGGCUCGCUGGGACGGUACUGACGCUGAGACGCGAAAGCGUGGGGAGCAAACAGG
rnacentral:rRNA from 1 species